AGAUUGUAGGCUGAAACUCGCCUAUAUGAAGUCGGAAUUGCUAGUAAUCGCGGAUCAGCAUGCUGCGGUGAAUACGUUCCCGGGCCUUGUACACACCGCCCGUCACACCAUGAGAGUCGAUAACACCCGAAGCCUGUAGUCUAACCAUAAGGAGGACGCAGUCGAAGGUGGGAUUGAUAAUUAGGGUGAAGUCGUAACAAGGUAUC
rnacentral:rRNA from 1 species